GAUGAACGCUGGCGGUAUGCUUAACACAUGCAAGUCGAACGGACUCUUCGGAGUUAGUGGCGGACGGGUGAGUAACGCGUGAGAAUCUGGCUUUGGGUUCGGGACAACCACUGGAAACGGUGGCUAAUACCGGAUGUGCCGAGAGGUAAAAGAGAAAUUGCCUGAAGACGAGCUCGCGUCUGAUUAGCUAGUUGGUGAGGUAAAGGCUCACCAAGGCAGCGAUCAGUAGCUGGUCUGAGAGGAUGACCAGCCACACUGGGACUGAGACACGGCCCAGACUCCACGGGGAGGCAGAGGGGGGAAUUUUCCGCAAUGGGCGAAAGCCUGACGGAGCAAUACCGCGUGAGGGAAGAAGGCUCUUGGGUUGCAAACCUCUUUUCUUAGGGAAGAACAAAAUGACGGUACCUAAGGAAUCAGCAUCGGCUAACUCCGUG
rnacentral:rRNA from 1 species